AGAGUUUGAUCCUGGCUCAGGACGAACGCUGGCGGCGUGCCUAAUGCAUGCAAGUCGCACGGGGUCUUCGGACCCAGUGGCGCACGGCUGAGGAGCACGUGGCUGACCUACCCCGGCGUGGGGGAUAACGGGCCGAAAGGCUCGCUAAUCCCGCAUACGAUCACCCUUGCGGGUGAGGAAAGCUUCGGCGCGCUGGGCGGGGGCCGCGUCCCAUUAGGUUGUUGGUGUGGUAAUGGCGCACCAAGCCGAUGAUGGGUUCCGGGUCUGAGAGGACGACCCGGCAGACUGGGACUGAGACACGGCCCAGACUCCUACGGGGGGCAGCAGCAAGGAAUUUUCGGCAAUGGGCGCAAGCCUGACCGAGCAACGCCGCGUGGAGGAUGACGGCUUUCGGGUUGUAAACUCCUUUUGGGUGGGACGAUAAUGACGGUACCAUCCGAAUCAGACCCGGCUAACUACGUGCCAGCAGCCGCGGUAAUAC
rnacentral:rRNA from 1 species